UUCCACCUCCAAAUAUCUGUUGGUGCUCCAGACAUUUUCAUUCCGCAAACCAGCCUAUGAAAUGGAUGAAACACAUCGUGACUGGGUUCCAGUGCUACAUAAGGGACCUGCUU